rnacentral:sRNA from 1 species
CCCUGCUGAUCGAUUAUUUGAUAAUUGAUUUUCCCCGCAGCCAAUGCGCGGCGGCCUGGGCGGGGGCGCCUCCUGAUUGGCCGAGCAGUCCUCCACGGCUGCCUACCGAGAUUUGGUACGACGAUCUACCCCAUUACGGGGGCAUGGAUGGAGUAGGCAUCCCCUCCACGAUGUAUGGGGACCCGCAUGCAGCCAGGUCCAUGCAGCCGGUCCACCACCUGAACCACGGGCCUCCUCUGCACUCGCAUCAGUACCCGCACACAGCUCAUACCAACGCCAUGGCCCCCAGCAUGGGCUCCUCUGUCAAUGACGCUUUAAAGAGAGAUAAAGAUGCCAUUUAUGGACACCCCCUCUUCCCUCUCUUAGCACUGAUUUUUGAGAAAUGUGAAUUAGCUACUUGUACCCCCCGCGAGCCGGGGGUGGCGGGCGGGGACGUCUGCUCGUCAGAGUCAUUCAAUGAAGAUAUAG